rnacentral:rRNA from 1 species
UACAGAGGUCUCAAGCGUUGUUCGGAUUCAUUGGGCGUAAAGGGUGCGUAGGCGGCGCGGUAAGUCGGGUGUGAAAUCUCGGGGCUUAACUCCGAAACUGCAUUCGAUACUGCCGUGCUUGAGGACUGGAGAGGAGACUGGAAUUCAUGGUGUAGCAGUGAAAUGCGUAGAGAUCAUGAGGAAGACCAGUGGCGAAGGCGGGUCUCUGGACAGUUCCUGACGCUGAGGCACGAAGGCCAGGGGAGCAAACGGGG